CCUACGGGAGGCAGCAGUGAGGAAUAUUGGUCAAUGGGCGCGAGCCUGAACCAGCCAAGUCGCGUGAGGGACGACGGUCCUAUGGAUUGUAAACCUCUUUUGUCGGGGAGCAAAAGACGCCACGCGUGGCGUUCCGCGCGUAUCCGUAGAAACAGCCUCGGCUAAUUCCGUGCCAGCAGCCGCGGUAAUACGGAGGUUGCGAGCGUUAUCGGGAUUUAGUGGGUUAAAGGGGCGCGCAGGCGGAAGAUCAAGGCAGCGGUAAAAUUGAGAGGCUCAACCUCUUCGAGCCGUUGGAACUGGUUUUCUUGAGUGAGCGAGGAGUAUGCGGAAUGCGUGGUGUAGCGGUGAAAUGCAUAGAUAUCACGCAGAACUACGAUUGCGAAGGCAGCAUACCGGCGCUCAACUGACGCUCAUGCACGAAGGUGUGGGUAUCGAACAGGAUUAGAUACCCUAGUAGUC
rnacentral:rRNA from 1 species